rnacentral:rRNA from 1 species
GACGAACGCUGGCGGCGUGCUUAACACAUGCAAGUCGAGCGGUAAGGCCCUUCGGGGUACACGAGCGGCGAACGGGUGAGUAACACGUGGGUGACCUGCCUCUAGCUCUGGGAUAAGCCUGGGAAACUGGGUCUAAUACCGGAUAUGACCGCAUGCUGCAUGGUGUGUGGUGGAAAGUUUUUCGGCUGGGGAUGGGCCCGCGGCCUAUCAGCUUGUUGGUGGGGUGAUGGCCUACCAAGGCGACGACGGGUAGCCGGCCUGAGAGGGCGACCGGCCA